GGCCGCCGUAAACCCAAGGUUUCCUGGGGCAGGUUCGUCCGCCCAGGGUUAGUCGGGAGCUAAGACGAGGCCGUAGGGCGUAGUCGAUGCACAGCAGUUUAAUAUUCCUGCACCGGCAAGGGUUAAGGUAACAAGGGACGUGAAUAAAAAAGUGACUAAGUCAUCGAAAGACAGAGCCUAGCCUUCGGGCGAAGCGUAUCACCGGACUAUUGACCGAGAAAAGCUUGUUAUUGUUCCCCUGGCCGCCCGUACCGUAAACCGACACAGGUGGGUGAGUGUAAAUGCACUAAGGCGCGCGAGAUAAACCUCUCUAAGGAACUCGGCAAAAUAGCCCCGUAACUUCGGGAGAAGGGGUACCCCACGCAAGUGGGGUCACAGUAAAUUGGGUUUGGCGACUGUUUACCAAAAACACAGCACUCUGCUAAGUCGUGAAGACGACGUAUAGGGUGUGACACGUGACCAAUGCGACAAGAUUAAGGUGACUUGUUAGCCCUUGAGGCGAAGCUCGGAGCCGAAGUCCUCGUGAAUGUCGGCCGUAACUAUAACGGUCCUAAGGUAGCGAAAUUCCUUGUCGGGUAAGUUCCGACCUGCACGAAUCGUGUAACGACCGAACCGCUGUCUCGGAGAGGUUCUCGGCGAAAUUGUAGUGGCGGUGAAGAUGCCGCCUACCCGCGGUAGGACGGAAAGACCCUAUGCACCUUUACUAUAAGCUGGUAUUGGGUUCUGAUUCUUAAUGCGUAGCAUAGGUGGGAGACUUUGAAACGAUGGCUUCGGUUGUCGUGGAGUCGCCAGUGAAAUACCACUCUUUAUUAAUUAGGAUUCUAACCCCGAUCCUGUGAAGCCAGGCGGGGAACAGUGCCUGCGGGUUAGUUUGACUGGGGCGGUUUCCUCCCAAAGAGUAACGGAGGAGCGCGAAGGUACUCUCAGCACGGUUGGCAAUCGUGCGUCGAGCGCAUCGGUAGAAGAGUGCUUAACUGUGAGACACACACGUCGAGCAGAUGCGAAAGCAGGCCGAAGUGAUCCGAUAGUAGAAUGUGGAAUUGCUAUCGCUCAACGGACAAAAGGUACGCUAGGGAUAACAGGCUGAUCGCGCCCAAGAGUUCAUAUCGACGGCGCGGUUUGGCACCUCGAUGUCGGCUCAUCGCAUCCUGGGGCUG
rnacentral:rRNA from 1 species